rnacentral:lncRNA from 1 species
AUAAUUUCACGAUAAAUAAAUUGUUAAUUUAUGCUCAUAGAACUCCGGCAAUUUUAUUAUUAUCUUUAUUAAUCUCUGUUUUACUGGUUCGAGUCACUUUUUUACAAAAACCUUUUCACACGUAGCCCACAUUUCCAAAAAUGUAUGUAGAAUUUAUUUGUUGUAUGUGUGGUUGUAUAUAGACUUUAUUUUUGUUCUAAUUUAAUUUCUGAUGUUUUCUUCGAAUAUUUUAUAGUCUGAGGAUAAAAAAAGAGGUUUCAGCUAGGUGAAAGAAAAAAAAAGAUUUUACCCUCUUCAUUCUCAUGGAUAACUUUUCUCAUUACGAGCUAUGUAAUUUUCUUCGAAGAGAUUCUUAUAAGUUUUCGAUUUACUAUUUUUACAUUUAUCCAUCCUUCGUAAAGUAUCUGCAUUAACGAGACGAGUUUGAAAGAGGGUAAAAAGUACACUCAUUUGAUGGAUGAAACCAAAGAAAUGACGUCUCGUAAAAUGUACGGAUUAGCAUUAAAAAGACAAAAAGCAUUGCAACACUUUAAAACGCGUCAGGGACACGUUAUAGGGAUAACUUAAUCUGGGAGAUGCAGCUUCGUCUAGACGGUGCUUGUAAUGAUCCAAAGUCCCGGCUUAGGUGAGCUAAUUCUUUUUUUAUGACCGUUUUAUCUCGCUCAGCUCGCUUUUAUUCCGUAGCUGAGAGAAGUCGAGUCCCCCUUUUUCCCUUUCUUAUGCGUAAUUGUAAUAUUACAAGGGGCAAAGGGGUAAUACCUCAGUUCGCCUGUUUUCUUAUAGAAUGUAAAUUGUAAAGCGGAGCGCGCGACUAAUUAAUUGCCCGUUUAAAUAAUUCGUUUCCUUUGUCACGAAGAAAUAGACGGGAGUAAAAGAGAACGUGGAAGAGUUUGCUUGAUGAAAAUUUGAGCUAGCCUCGUUCUUGUUUCUUUUUCUCUCUGCCUUUCUCUUUCUCCUCGUUUGUGAAAAUUAUUCUAUAAGAUUGAAAUAUAAUAUUUGGCGAAUUAGAGAAAGAGAGAGAGAUAAAGAAAUAGCGCGUACAAGGGUGUACAUGCACAUGUGUUAACAUUAAUCUUUGCAACAACAUAAAGCCUUAGAGAAGAAACGAGCUUUCACAGAAAUAUAUUUACACUUUCCGAUUUAUCGUUGCUUUUAGGCGAAGCUAUUACAUAAAAUAAAUUUUGCGGAAACGUAAAUGUAAAUGGGGGGGGGAAGGUGCUGUUUUUGGUUGCGACCGUGUCGCCAACGCCUUCCUAGAUUCAAACGAAUGAAAUUCGUUCGCAAGACGAGAUAUUGGCUGCUAAAGUAGAAGGUUUAGCGAGAUAUCAGCAACUUGGUGCAAAACCGAUAAGGCUUUGAGUUUUUUCUUUCUCUACCCGCGUCGUCGUAUCUCGUUUAUUUGUACGUAUGUGUGUGUGUGUGUGUGUCCCUAUUCGUAUGUGUAGAUUGUAUAAGCUCCAGCAAGAGUAGAGACUAGCAUUUGCAAUGUAAAUUUUCACGUUGCGCAAAUAAAAGCUUUCCUCGGACCACCAAUGGUGUUCGGGCACGGCGAUUUCCUGGAAUCAAUCCCUUAUUGAACAAAUAUAUAAACAUUCGAGAUUCGGCACAUGCGUUCACGAGAAUGUAUCGAAAUGAUGGGAGAAGACUUUCAUGGAAAAGGAGAAGGAAAGAGAGUCAACACGUAACGAGAUCUCCAUAUGAUUUCUUUUACAUAGAUAGGUGAGCGACGCAUUGUUCGAGGGAAGGGCGGCUAACACCGAUAAGAAAAAAGGACGAUUGCUGACCGCUAGCCGAAAGCAAGGAAAGAAAAUUCGACACUCUCUCCGCGACCAUCCGAGCGUCAAGAUUGAACAUUUCUUUUGUAUCCUAACCGUUUCUGUAUCUUGAAAUAUAAUCGUUUAUUUUAUUCUA